UAUUAUUCCAUGAUAAAAUUUGUAUCCUUGGUUAGUAGUAGUUAUUUACUUAAAAUCUAAAAAAUUUGGCGGUAAUUUAAUCUUUUCAGAGGAACCUGUUUUUUAAUCGAUAAUCCACGAAAUAUCUUGCUUGUUUUAGUAAAGUUUGUAUACCAUCAUUAUCAGGUAAUUUUUAAAGAAAAUUAAUUACUAGGAAGAAAUAAUUUAGAUAAAUUAGAUCAUGGUGCAGCUUAUAAAGAAGUUAAAAUGGGUUACAAUAAAUUAUUGUUAUACGGAUAAAUAAAAUAAUAUUUUUUUAGAAGGAGGAUUUGAUUGUAUUUUAAAUUUAAUAUGUUUAAAAGAUAAUAGCUCUAAAUUAUGUACAUAU
rnacentral:rRNA from 1 species